ACGUAGGGGGCGAGCGUUAUCCGGAUUUAUUGGGCGUAAAGCGUGUGUAGGCGGUUUGUUAAGUUUAAGAUUAAAGCCCGGGGCUCAACUCCGGUAAGUCUUAAAAACUGGCAGGCUUGAGUACGGUAGAGGCAAACGGAAUUUCUAGUGUAGCGGUGAAAUGCGUAGAUAUUAGAAGGAACACCAGUGGCGAAAGCGGUUUGCUGGGCCGUUACUGACGCUGAGGCACGAAAGCGUGGGGAGCAAAUAG
rnacentral:rRNA from 1 species